AUUGAACGCUGGCGGCAGGCCUAACACAUGCAAGUCGAACGAGUGGCGGACGGGUGAGUAAUGUCUGGGAAACUGCCUGAUGGAGGGGGAUAACUACUGGAAACGGUAGCUAAUACCGCAUACCAUCGGAUGUGCCCAGAUGGGAUUAGCUAGCAGGUGGGGUAACGGCUCACCUAGGCGACGAUCCCUAGCUGGUCUGAGAGGCUGACCGGCCACACUGGAACAGGGACACGGUCCAGAAUCCUACGGGAGGCAGCAGUAGGGAAUAUUGCACAAUGGGCGCAAGCCUGAUUCAGCCAUGCCGCGUGUAUGAAGAAUGCCUUCAGGUUGUAAAGUCCUUUCAGCGGGGAGGCGUUACCCGCAGAAGAAGCACCGGCUAACUCCGUGCCAGCAGCCGCGGUAAUUC
rnacentral:rRNA from 1 species